CUUUUCUUUUCACAGGAGCUGCCGAUACAAAGGCCUGGCUGGGGAGAAAUCCCGCGCCACCUGUGACAUCAAGAUCAAGUAAACACCUGGGGGACAUAAACACUGGCGAUACAAAGGCCAAGCUUCCCGAACGACACCUGACCUGCCGUGUGUUCCUGUACGAGCCGUGUUUCCAUGGCCUGCCAAGACCCAUAACACACAAGGAACUGCUUCAGGGUGCUGGUGUGAAGCCGCAGGGAAAGGGGAGCCAUGACACAGUAGAAGCAGAAAGGCGACUUGUUUUCGGUCAAGGUAAAGAAGGAAAAGAAAGGCAGUAAAGGCAAGAAGAAGAAGCAGCAGGAGGGAGACAGAGAGGUCCAUGUGAAGAAAACACCCAAGGCUGACCACUUGUCUGCCCUUGAUGUCCAGCCGUUAACUUACAAG